AACGCGAAGAACCUUACCUGGGUUUGACAUGCACAGGACGACUGCAGAGAUGUGGUUUCCCUUGUGGCCUGUGUACAGGUGGUGCAUGGCUGUCGUCAGCUCGUGUCGUGAGAUGUUGGGUUAAGUCCCGCAACGAGCGCAACCCUUGUCUCAUGUUGCCAGCGCGUUAUGGCGGGGACUCGUGAGAGACUGCCGGGGUCAACUCGGAGGAAGGUGGGGAUGACGUCAAGUCAUCAUGCCCCUUAUGUCCAGGGCUUCACACAUGCUACAAUGGCCGGUACAAAGGGCUGCGAUGCCGUGAGGUUUAGCGAAUCCUUUAAAGCCGGUCUCAGUUCGGAUUGGGGUCUGCAACUCGACCCCGUGAAGUCGGAGUCGCUAGUAAUCGCAUAUCAACAAUGCUGCGGUAAAUACGUCCCCGGGUCUUGUACACACCG
rnacentral:rRNA from 1 species